rnacentral:rRNA from 1 species
UACGGAGGGUGCAAGCGUUGUUCGGAAUUAUUGGGCGUAAAGGGCGCGUAGGCGGAUAGUUUAGUCAGAGGUGAAAGCCCAGGGCUCAACCUUGGAAUUGCCUUUGAUACUGGCUAUCUUGAGUACGGGAGAGGUGUGUGGAACUCCGAGUGUAGAGGUGAAAUUCGUAGAUAUUCGGAAGAACACCAGUGGCGAAGGCGACACACUGGCCCGUUACUGACGCUGAGGCGCGAAAGCGUGGGGAGCAAACAGG